GCCAGGCAUGGUGAUGCAUGCCUGUAGUUCCAGCUGCUCAGGAGGCUGAGGUGGGAGGAUCGCUGGAGCCCAGGAGGUUGAGGCUGCAGUGAGCCAUGAUUGUACCACUGCACUCCAGCCUGGGCAAUAGAGCAAGAUCCUGUCUCAA
rnacentral:SRP_RNA from 1 species